CUUCGAAUUUGAGAGGAUGAUGAUGGCGCUGUAUGCCUCCAUACAUUAUGCGGUAGUUCUGAGGGCCUACCACGAAUCACGUUCUAUGUGUUGCCUCCCUAUCACACUUACGUACGGAUUUACAAAUGCGACACGGAGAGGCAAUACGUCGAACGUGGUUCGUGGUAGGCUCUCUGGUUGUCAUAACUGUCAUAAGUUCAUGUGUGUAAAUUCAGAGGACCUACUGCCGACGUCGCUUAUCUGCCGCUCGAAUAUCCAAGAGCGAUAGAGGCAAAGGGGCUACCGCGAAAACCGAAAUUCGUAAAUUGCGGGUAUCUUUCUCUUUUACUCCAAUGAAGGCGUAAUUAGAGUGACAGAGAAAAAUGCCCGCAAUUUGCGAACUUCGAUUUUCGCGGUUAUAGCCCAGAUAACGAUUUUCGCGGUAGGCCCUCAGUUACCAAUACCACAAAGUAAGGCUUCGUGUAGCGCCAUCUAGUUGGACUGUCAAACCAGGAGGUUAGAACAUUUCUUCGAAUUUACACUAGGUUACAAAUAAGUACAGUUGACGAAAUAGUUAACUGACCUUUAGUUAAUUUUAUCGGGUGUUUACGUUUAUACAUAAAGAAGUACGAUGGAAGUUAAUGAUUUAUGUUGGUGAUAACAUUGUUACUAUCUGUUUGGUCAUUCACAUUAUCUUAUUUCUCAAUACGUCAGAGAACGUCGGUUUACACUUAAAAGUGUUAAUCCGUCAGUUUGUUUACAUUUCAUGCUCUUGAUAUAGGUAACAAUGACUUUGCUUAGUGCAAAAAAGUUCAUAGACUGUCAGGUAAAAUAACAAUUAUAUGAUUACUUGCCA